rnacentral:lncRNA from 1 species
CAGAUAUGGAAGUGACAAUAAACAACAAGUUUUCCAAGAUUUACAAUGAACAAGCGGAUUUGGCUUCUUGCUCUAAAAUAGAAACAUCUAGAGCACUUACUUGGUGACAAUCCCACCAAUUCAACGAGAAUGGAAAUAUUUUCUACCCUUCACUCCUUUGCGGCUUGUAGAAUCAAAGGAGAAAAGGAAAAACUUAACAACAGUUCUUGCAUGAAUGAGUCACCUGCGGCACUGGAUUCUCAUGUAAGUGGUUGAAUGGAUUAGCAAGCUUUCUCCCGGGCGCCACACACAACUUGAAUAUCCUAGAUGUGUUUCCAAGUUGUAGAAUCCACAUCAACCAUCAAGUAAUCAUGUGAGUCUAAUAUACAUAAACUGUAGGCAAAAUUCAGCAACAAAGGUAACAUGCUUAGUGAGAAACUGGAUAACAAAAGGAAUACUUUCAACCAAGUCCAGAGGAACACAUAGAAUGCCCGGGAACUUUUCACUGAAGUAACAAUGCAAUUAUUCAUAGCAGGUUUGUUCUAGAACCUAGCUAUUGUUUAAGAAAUUGUGGAGCCAAAUUUAUACAAAAAAGGGAGAUACUCCUAAACCUUCCUAAAAUUUAACCAGAUUUCAUAUGAUAACCUACAGGCCGUCUAAAAGCUCCCCUUAUUUUUUACCAUGUUGUAGAAUGUACGUCUAUUAAAACUGCAAGAUUAGCAAUUCUUUUGGUCCUGAGCACAUAAGAUGGCAAAUAAACACACUGAAAUAAGACAAAAGCAAUUGUGGCAUAAGGUUAAAGCUGUGGAAAUAUCCAGUGUUGCAUCAAAAUUGCAUUGGAGUAUCUCAAAGAAUAAAAAUGAGUAGAACUACUAAACCUUAAUAUCAGCUAUCAUGGUGACCUUCUUAUAACUUCAAAACCGAUGAAAAUAAAUUGCAUUGGAGGAGUAUCUCAAAGAAUAAAAAUGAGUAGAACUACUAAACCUUAAUAUCAAUUGUCAUGGUGACCUUCUUAUAACUUCAAAACCAAUGAAAGUAAAUAUAUUACCAUCCAUAAGUAAACAAUCAUCGAUUUUGUUAUUGUGCAACUCAAACCUAAAUAAAAACUAUAAAUGUGGUUUCAGAACCGUCUGAAUCCUAAACAUGACAAGAAUCAAAAUUACCAAGGCCGAAAAGCCUCAGUUUUACAUUUGCAAAGUCACGCAAUAACAGACCAAGAUAUACAUUGAGCAAAGCAACAAGAAAAGAAGAAAUUCAUUGAUGCAAUUCUAUCAAGCAUCAAGGUCAUAGUGUCAAUUAGUGUCCAUAAUCAACAAAUCAAUAUUUGAAACAAGAAAUUCACUCAUGCUUCGUAUGGAAGUUGGAAGACACUAAUAAGAAGCCUCUGAAAUACCAUCUGGAAAAUCAAUGGCAAAAAAUGAUGAAUCGGGACAACAUUGAAGUGCCAAUAGAGUCAACCAAUGCUGUCAACCCAUUCUUAUAGCUGGGUGUUUAAUGUAGACGAACAACCAACUGUUUAGGUACGCUAUUCUGACAAAAAUUCAACAUCGUGCAUACUGGCAGUCAUCUAGACAAAAAUAAGUGUUGUCACAUUUCAGUUUCCUAAUAUGUGUACUUUCUUGUUCCCAUUGAUCUAGAUGAGACACUCAAGAUGGCCUGCAUACUGGCAGCCAUAUCUAAUUCAACAUCGUGCAUCAUAAUCCAUUGGAUUGACAAGUCCUUCAAAAAUUUCAUAGAGGCGGACAAGAAAAUAAAAUCAACAAUAAGCCACCUGAAGAAGCCAACUGGCAUAUGUUAAUUUUACAAAUAGUAAAACAUAAGCAUUACCAUUCCUUUCAGCAUAGGAAAUGAAAAAGAGAUAUUUAUGUACAACAAUUAAAAAUCAUUGGAGCAGAGCACACUACAUAAGCUUGUAGAGUUGCAGAGUGAGAGAGAGAGGGAGAGAGGAGUGAAGAAGGAUUGGAAACUCACCUUGACGUGUUGACAUCAGCUAUAACAGUUCUGUUCCUAUCAAGAAUGAACUCUACAAAUAAUUAGU